ACAGGGUCACAUUUUAAUUCCUGAAUUUUACAGGUCAGCAUUAAUAUCACCACAUGUAUACAAAUGGUGUAAAACAAGUACAGUGGUAUUUUUAAUACAAAAUAAACAUCUGUUUUAUGGAAAAACUAUACUUCAUAUCUACACAACAGCCCAUCCUCCAAACAAUAGCCAAAAUUAAAAUUAACUACAAAAUCUCCAAAACAGGGGAAACUGCUUCAGUUUAAGCUAUUCCAGGAAAAAUGGACCCAUAACACAUUACAAAGGUGAUCUGAAGACUGUAGCUGGAAUUACUAAUUUUAGUCUUUUUUUUUCCCCCCAAUGUAUUAUAGUUUGGGGGAUGUUUUUCUCACUUCAGCAUGAUCUCAGAUCACAGAUGAGCAAACUAACAUUAAAAUAUUUAGUUAACUUGCUGUUCUAAAAAUAAAACCUCUUAACUGUUUGCCUCAGUUUAUUAUUUUAAACUCAUUUUCGUACAUGGAAUGUGCUUUUAUUCUUAAAAAAAAAAAAAGCAGCUUUCAUAUUACACCCUUGUUUAUGGAAAAGCUUCAGGUGCUGCAUACUGACUGACACUGAAGUAACUUCUUGGACCAAAAUGGCCUAUAGAUAUUAAAUGCCACUUAAUUCAGCACUAUUCUUUGUAUGUUAGUCUUUAUAAAUUACACCUUAAAACGUUCCUGCAGCUCUUCAGAGAAACCUUUACUAACGAAGUAGAAAGUGACUUUAAAGCAUCUUCCACAAGAUUGUACUGGUAGGCAGUUGAAAACGUUCUGUUCAAUAUACUCCCGUUUCUAGAGAAAAUCACUUUGGAAUACUACUGUACUGAUUCUUGGCAUCUGUUAUCUCUAAAAGUGCUGAUUUUAAAGUUACAGUAACAAAACUGUCCAUUUUAAUCCAGCUUGUUUUCAUCAAAAUACACACUGAAAUUUUCUGAUGGAGAAAACUCAACAUGUGCUGUAACACAGGGUGUAUUUCCCUCCAACUACCAAUAAGGCUGAAUUUCUGUUAGAUCUUCAAAGAAAUGGUCCCAACAGCUUAACUUCAUUUUUUAAUGAUAGUUGAAUGUUUUCCAUAAAAGUCAGAGGCAACUGAUUAAAGAACAACAUGGCCAGCACCAUUAUACAAGUAAUGUUAUUGGGUUUGCAACUGAAGUCUUAUAAUUGUUUCUAGAUCAGAAACCCCCAUGGAGCAACCCUGCAUUAAUGAUACCUUACCAACUUUAUCCCUUCCCUAAACCAUCCCCAAACCUGAGAGUUUCCUUGCUGAGAAGCUACCUCCCAGGUUACUAACUUUUUUUUUUUUUUGACAUCCUGAAGUAUUUUUUAAAAAAUCAUUUUUUUGAGUAGCAGACCCUCCUAUGUGGGCCUUGAAGGAGCAAACUGCCAUGUUGUGAAGAUGGCCACAUGGCAAGGACCCAAGAGAGACUUCUG
ensembl:lncRNA